rnacentral:rRNA from 1 species
UACGUAAGUCCCGAGUGUUACCCGGAAUCAUUGGGUGUAAAGGGUUCGUAGGCGGAUAAUUAAGUCAGAUAUUAAAGACCGAGGCUCAACCUCGAGUUUGUGUUUGAAACUGAUUGUCUAGAAUUAGGGAGAGGUAAGUGGAAUUCUGUGUGUAGGGGUGCAAUCCGUAGAUACACAGAGGAACACCAAAAGCGAAGGCAACUUACUGGAACUAUAUUGACGCUGAUGAACGAAAGCGUGGGUAGCGAAAAGGAUUAGAUACCCUUGUAGUCCACGCCCUAAACGAUGAUAACUAAGUGUUGGGACUAGAUCUCAGUGCUGAAGCUAACGCAUUAAGUUAUCCACCUGAGGAGUACGGUCGCAAGAUUAAAACUCAAAGGAAUAGACGGGGACCCACACAAGCAGUGGAUCACGUGGUUUAAUUCGAUAAUAAACGGGGAACCUUACCCAGACUUGACAUCCUAGGAAUUCUGAAGAGAUUCAGAAGUGCUUUUAUUAGAACCUAGUGACAGGUGCUGCAUGGUUGUCGUCAGCUCGUGCCUUGAGGUGUUCGGUUAAGUCCGUUAACGAGCGCAACCCAUGUCUCUAGUUAUUAUGUCUAGAGAGACUGCCUUGGUUAACAAGGAGGAAGGUGUGGAUGACGUCAAAUCAGCAUGGCUUUUACGUCUGGGGCUACACACAUGAUACAAUGGUAUGUACAAAGGGCAGCAACAGGGCAACCUAGAGCUAAUCCUAAAAGCAUAUCUUAGUCCGGAUUGGAGUCUGCAACUCGACUCCAUGAAGUUGGAAUUGCUAGUAAUCGUGAAUCAGAUAUGUCACGGUGAAUAUGUUCCUGGGUC